rnacentral:rRNA from 1 species
CAAUAGCGUAUAUUAAAGUUGUUGCAGUUAAAAGCUCGUAGUUGGAUUUCUGGCAGAGGAACUAGGCCCGCAUGUUGCGGUUGCCAAGGUUCUCUACCAUCCUUCUGUUAACCCUCCUAGUUAUUUGUUUAACUGUUGGGAGCCCAGAUAUUUUACCUUGAGAAAAUUAGAGUGUUUCAGGCAGGCUAGGCCGGAAUACAUUAGCAUGGAAUAAUGGAAUAGGACUACGGUCUCUUUGUUGGUUUGAGGGACUGCAGUAAUGAUUAAUAGGGAUAGUUGGGGGCAUUAGUAUUUAAUUGUCAGAGGUGGAAUUCUCGGAUUUGUUAAAGACUAACUUAUGCGAAAGCAUUUGCCAAGGAUGUUUUCAUUAAUCAAGAACGAAAGUUAGGGGAUCAAAGAUGAUCAGAUAC